rnacentral:pre_miRNA from 1 species
GUACACAUCACCUGGGGAUAUUGUUAAAAUGCAGAUUUUGAUUCAAUAGGCCUGAGAAUCUGCAUUCCUAAUUUGCUCCCAGGUGAUGCUGAU